GUAGGUGAACCUGCGGAAGGAUCAUUAAUGAAACUUCAAAGUCGGCUUGGUUGUCUGUGCUGGUGGAGACACAUGUGCACGUCGACAAAGUCGCAAACCCCACACACCUGUGCAUCUAUGACUCUGAGUACCGCUUUGCAUGGGCUGUCAAACGCCCUGGUACUCGAGUAACUUUCACACACUCUGAAUGUAAUGGAAUGUCUAUUGUACAAUGUACAACCAAAAACAACUUUCAACAACGGAUCUCUUG
rnacentral:misc_RNA from 1 species